GGUGAUCCUGCUCAGU
rnacentral:rRNA from 1 species